AAAUUGAAGAGUUUGAUCAUGGCUCAGAUUGAACGCUGGCGGCAGGCCUAACACAUGCAAGUCGAGCGGCAGCGGGAAAGUAGCUUGCUACUUUUGCCGGCGAGCGGCGGACGGGUGAGUAAUGCCUGGGAAAUUGCCCAGUCGAGGGGGAUAACAGUUGGAAACGACUGCUAAUACCGCAUACGCCCUACGGGGGAAAGCAGGGGACCUUCGGGCCUUGCGCGAUUGGAUAUGCCCAGGUGGGAUUAGCUAGUUGGUGAGGUAAUGGCUCACCAAGGCGACGAUCCCUAGCUGGUCUGAGAGGAUGAUCAGCCACACUGGAACUGAGACACGGUCCAGACUCCUACGGGAGGCAGCAGUGGGGAAUAUUGCACAAUGGGGGAAACCCUGAUGCAGCCAUGCCGCGUGUGUGAAGAAGGCCUUCGGGUUGUAAAGCACUUUCAGCGAGGAGGAAAGGUCA
rnacentral:rRNA from 1 species